rnacentral:sRNA from 1 species
UCGUUAUAAAGCAAAUUCCCGAUAGGAUUCGUGGCAACACGAAGAUGCCUUGUAACCGACUAUCUACGCAAUUGAUGCAGAACUAAUGGGGGAAUUACACAUA